CCUACGGGGGGCAGCAGUGGGGAAUAUUGCGCAAUGGGCGAAAGCCUGACGCAGCGACGCCGCGUGAGGGAUGAAGGUCUUCGGAUCGUAAACCUCUGUCAGCAGGGAAGAACGGUCACUGUGCUAAUCAGCAGUGAAUUGACGGUACCUGCAAAGGAAGCACCGGCUAACUCCGUGCCAGCAGCCGCGGUAAUACGGAGGGUGCGAGCGUUAAUCGGAAUUACUGGGCGUAAAGCGUUCGUAGGCGGUAUGUCAAGUCAAGGGGGAAAUCCCCGCGCUCGACGUGGGAACUGCGUUUGAAACUGGCAAACUGGAGUGUGUGAGAGGAUAGUGGAAUUCCAGGUGUAGGAGGGAAAUCCGUAGAUAUCUGGAGGAACAUCAGUGGCGAAGGCGACUAUCUGGCACAUAACUGACGCUGAGGAGCGAAAGCGUGGGUAGCAAACAGGAUUAGAUACCCGAGUAGUC
rnacentral:rRNA from 1 species